CCUGCUCCUCCAUGUACACCGGGGGGGGCUUACAGAUUGCCUUAUCGAUUUUAGGGGCUGGGGAAGAGGAGGGGAAACGUGGGCUGAAGCAGGGGGUUGUGGCAGGAGCAUCCCCAGGACAGCUCUUGGAUGGUCUGAGGGAUGGAGAUGGGACGUGGUGCCCGAUCCUCGCUAGGAAGGGCUUCGGUCCUCCUCACUGAGAGGAGCAGGCAAACUCCUCCAAGACGGUGCCUAAGGCACAUCUUGUGGGGACACCCCAUGGAUAUGGGGCUGGGCACGAGAUGUGGGGCACGGAGGAGCUUUGGUGCAGGAUCCCACAGCAGGGAAUCAGCUGCACCGUCUCAUACACCUUCCUAGGGGCUGCCUUUCUUCUUUUUGCUAAUGUUUGAUUAUUUUUAAUGAUUUUAGAUUAAAAAGUAAUUAUUUUCAAUUAGGAGUUGCACUUCUUAAUUACGGAGAUGAAUUAGGUGGCUAUUCAUUAUUAAUUAGAUUUUAACUCGGCGCUGAUAGAACCUUUUAUCUGUCCCUAUCUGCUUUCUGCCCAUCCCGCCUGCCUCUGCCCCAAAGCUACCCCAGCCCCGCAGCAUCCCGUGGCUUUUACAACUGCUUACAAAAUACACAUCAGUGUUAUCAUCCCGGAGGCUGUCUGCUUCCUUCAAGGGUGCAAAUCCCGAUCACAAGAUGGUGUCAUUUUGUGGGCUUAAAAACAUUAAUUGAAAGCAUUAAUAUCCUGCCUCCCCCCAUCGGUGGCCGGGGCAGAAACUGUGCCCUAAUUGUGUGCUGAGCCCAAACAAUGACCCUGUUUUUCCCUGCCAGCAGAAGGAACCCAUUCCCUCAUCCCUGCUCCUUCCCUCUGCCACAAGUGGCAAUUUUGCUCUUUGUGUGUGACAGAGAGGGUUUGACCUGCCUGUGCUAUUUCUUGGAUUUUGUUUGUUUUUGCUAUUUUUAAAGAAAGCUGUUGGCUUUCUUUUGAUCUGCUUUCUUUGCCAUCUGUCACCUUUCAAGCAUUAAUCAAUGCUUGGAGUUUUCUCACUGUUGCUCACUGCUGUCUCUGUCUCCCUCCCUGCUACUGUCCCAUCCCUGGGGAAGGUCUCCUCUCCGCUGUGGUUUCCCAAGAGCUCAAAAUAGUGGUCUUUACUCUCAUUUUUAAAUGUUUUAAAUAUUUCUUUAAUUUUCACUUGCUCCUAGGUGGGUUUGGAAGUGGUCUUAAGGCAUCUCUCUGCAUAUUUGAAGAGAAAACCAAACGGUGGGGACCAGGAAGGUAUCUUCAUCCCUGAAAAGCCCACGUUAUUUCCCCUCCGGUCGCUCCUCUCUGUGCCACAGGUGUGAGCACCUCGUGCCCCAGAGCCCUUUGGCUGCGGUGAAAUGUCGACAAUCCUGAAAUGGUUUGGACGGGAAGAUAAGGAGAGAGAGGAGAAGGGCGCUGAAGAAGAGAAAGAAAAGGAGGAGGAGAAAGAGGAGGAAAAGGUAGGAGAAUGAUGGAGCUUUUCACAGAUUGGCUGCUGAACCAUUUCCCAGAGGAUUUCCAGCCCCAAAGUCUCCAGCACGGUGCUCAGGGUGAGCCCAGCACUUCCCAAACCAGCCGUGUUGGGGAACCUCCAUGUCCAUGGCUGUGCAGCACCUGUGGGGCACCCAGCACCCUGAGCACUGCGCUGCAGGGAACAGGGGCACAGCAGGGAUGUGCGCAGGGCAGAGCUCCCUGCUUCCCACUGAGUACCAAAAAUGGUACAAGAGGGCAUGGGAGGCAGCCAGGGCUUGUAGGUUGUUAGAAACCACCUGCCCUGCCUGAUUUACAUCCUGGCUGCAGUGACUCAUGGCAUCCACACACCUCUGGUGGAUGGUGCUGUGCCAUCCGCAGCCUGGAAAUCACAUCGUGUGCAUGGCUUUUCCACUGGGAGGCAGUUCUCUCUUUGAUCCUGCUGUUCCUGGUUAGUUCUCCCUCUUUUUCCUCCCAUUUAAACCCAGACAAGACACCGUGGUGGCCACUGAAUCUUUGCUCUCAGCUCUGGAGGCCUCUGCAGAGGGUGAUGUCCACUCGUGGAUCCACAGUGGCACUGUGGGGACAGAGCCUGGCUCUCCAUGCAACCUUCCACCUCUCUAUCCCAAGGGGGGCAAAUGGGGUGUCGGGGCCCUGGUGACAUUUAUCCUUCCUUCUGCCCCUGCAGGGAGAUGAAGAAGGUGGCGACAGGAGUAGCAGCAGCUCCCAAAGCGUCUCAGAGGAGCCCCAGGAGCACAGCAGCGACAAGGACGAUGAGAAGGAAGCCGCAGAUUAGCCUUGCUGUGCACCCCCGGGAGGUGGGGAUGCUGGUGGCAGCACUUCGGAGGGGGGACUGGCUGCUUUUAGCCAAAUAAAAGAGUUUGCGGGCUCCAAAGAGAGAUGCUAUUUAUUCGUGCUGGCUGGCUGCCUCCCCAGAGCUGCGUGGCCAAGGAAAAGCAGGUGAUGGGGAGCUGGCAUCUGGGGGAGCACAAGCAGGUUUUGUUCAAGAUCAUGAAAGGGAAUGGAGAGAAAUCCAGCAGCCCUGGCUGCCUGGCUCUGGGUGGCCCCUGAAAUGAAGAAACCCCCUCCCUGUCCUCUCCGUGCCUCUCGCUCCGGGGCUGUGCAGCAGGCGGCUUCAGCUGCCCGAGGCUGUGCUGAGCUGGUACAACCUGCUGUGAUUUUCUACGGAAC